GACGAACGCUGGCGGCGUGCCUAAUACAUGCAAGUGGGACGCAAGGAAACACACUGUGCUUGCACACCGUGUUUUCUUGAGUCGCGAACGGGUGAGUAACGCGUAGGUAACCUGCCUAUUAGCGGGGGAUAACUAUUGGAAACGAUAGCUAAUACCGCAUAAUAUUAAUUAUUGCAUGAUAAUUGAUUGAAAGAUGCAAGCGCAUCACAAUUAGAUGGACCUGCGUUGUAUUAGCUAGUUGGUAAGGUAAGAGCUUACCAAGGCGACGAUACAUAGCCGACCUGAGAGGGUGAUCGGCCACACUGGGACUGAGACACGGCCCAGACUCCUACGGGAGGCAGCAGUAGGGAAUCUUCGGCAAUGGACGAAAGUCUGACCGAGCAACGCCGCGUGAGUGAAGAAGGUUUUCGGAUCGUAAAGCUCUGUUGUAAGUCAAGAACGUGUGUGAGAGUGGAAAGUUCACACAGUGACGGUAGCUUACCAGAAAGGGACGGCUAACUACGUG
rnacentral:rRNA from 1 species